rnacentral:misc_RNA from 1 species
GUUUUGCUUGAUAGGUUUCGACGAAGAUUGCUGAGUUUAUGGCUUUUCGUUUCGGAGGAAGACAAAUGGCUGGUAGGGCUUUGCUUGGAGCAUCCACACAAUUAAGGGGAUACUGCCAGAAAAUCUCUCCCACAGAAUCCUCUCGUAGUGAUAAAGAUGUUAGAGCUUGUAUUGGGGGUGGACUCGUAGCUUUUUUGUUCUACUCGUACUGGUUACGCAACGAAGCUUGGAAAAUUAAAGAGUCUAGGAAGAAGCGACAAGCUGCCCUUAUUAAGAAGCUUGAGCUUCACAACAAUGAAGCUCCACAAUAAUGGCAGUCACAAGUAACAAGAAUUAGAGCUAGAAACAAUGAAGAUGAUCUUGUGGAAUGCAAAGCUUAACUUGAUCUUAUGCAUUAGUAGAGUAUUUAUAGAUUACAUAGAAGCAUCUAGAUGAUUUAAAAUUGUAACUAACUAUGCACAUUUAAAACAUGUGAUAACUAACUUUCUAACUAACUCUCUAACUAACUUUCAUAACUAACUAAGCUAACUAAUUGUAUAAUGCAAAGUAAUAUUCAAUAGCCCUUAUGCGGGAAAGGACAACAUGGAGGAUCAAAUGAUGAUGGUCUAGGAAUGUUGACAUUUGUUAUUUCCUAGUUGUACUUGUGCACGCUUAGUUUUGUGAUGUUAUUUUAAGUUGUCUUUUUUAUGCUUAUGUAACUCUCUUGGGGUCGUUGGCAUUUCUUGUGCCAUCAUAUCAAAUUCAUUCUGUGAUCUUCAUUUGAUGCUUUGACAUCCGACCUUAAACUUUGGAGGAGUAUCAUU